UUGAGUGAAAUAAGUAUUUGAACCCCUACCAACCAUUAAGAGUUCUGGCUCCUACAGAGUGGUUAGACACUCCUACUCAAUUAGUCACCCUCAUUAAAGACACCUGUCUUAACUAGUCACCUGUAUAAAAGACACCUGCCCACAGAAUCAAUCAAUCAAGCAGACUCCAAACUCUCCAACAUGGGAAAGACCAAAGAGCUGUCCAAGGAUGUCAGAGACAAAAUUGUAGACCUGCACAAGGCUGGAAUGGGCUACAAAACCAUUAGCAAGAAGCUGGGAGAGAAGGUGACAACUGUUGGUGCAACUGUUUGAAAAUGGAAGGAGCACAAAAUGACCAUCAAUCGACCUCGGUCUGGGGCUCCACGCAAGAUCUCACCUCGUGGGGUGUCAAUGAUUCUGAGAAAGGUGAGAAAUCAUCCUAAAACUACAUGGGAGGAGUUGGUUAAUGACCUCAAAGUAGCUGGGACCACAGUCACCAAGAAAACCAUUGGAAACACAUUACACCGCAAUGGAUUAAAAUCCUGCAGUGCUCGCAAGGACCCACUGCUCAAGAAGGCACAUGUGCAGGCCCAUCUGAAGUUUGCCAAUGAACACCUGAAUGAUUCAAAGAGUGACUGGGAGAAGGUGCUGUGGUCAGAUGAGACCAAAAUUAAGCUCUUUGGCAUUAACUCAACUUGCCGUGUUUGGAGGAAGAAAAAUGCUGCCUAUGACCCCCAAAACACUGUCCCCUCCAUCAAGCAUGGAGGUGGAAACAUUUUGCUUUGGGGGUGUUUUUCUGCUAAGGGCACAGGACAACUUCACCGCAUCAACGGGCAAAUGGACGGAGCCGUGUAUCGUAAAAUCCUGAGCAACAACCUCCUUCCCUCUGCCAGGAAACUGAAAAUGGGUUGUGGAUGGGUGUUCCAGCACGACAAUGACCCAAAACAUACAGCAAAGGUAAUAAAGGAGUGUCUCAAGAAGAAUCACAUUAAGGUCAUGGAGUGGCCUACACCGUAAAAAAUCUAACCUUCAAAAUCGUUAACUGAAAUGAAGAUUCUAAGUUGAAAAAGCAAUUACACCUAAUAAAUGUUCAGGUAACUUAUAAACAUGAGUUAUUUUUCUUCUAAUGUUCAAGGGAAAUGAGAAAGUUGCGUUAAAUGGCAUUAAGUUUUAGUCGACUCCGUGUACUUUCCGUCACUGCGCAUGUGCACUUCCUCCCUCCCCCCCCCUUGGAAAGAAACGGUUUGGAUGCCUACAAGUUUCGGCGAGGAAGCGCUUUUCCCACGUUGCAAAGCAUAAGGUUUGGAAUGCAGUGCAAAUUUUGAGAAUCCCCCUCCUGAUGUACUAUUGAAGCACUGCAGGUUGUCACUAUCAAGGCCACUCUUCAUCAUUACCCUGUCUCUAUCCUGAGUGUUUGCACUUCCAGAAAUCCAGGUGCGUUAAAUGUGACUUCAUCUUGAGCACAUAGACAAAUUCCACAACAAGCACCCCAUUUAAAUUUUUUUGCGAAACCUUAUCAUAUCCAUGAUUGUAAUAUGCAUUCUUAUUUGGACCUGUAUGACUUUGUUGCAGAGAUUGGUGAUAUUACAGGAUUUCUUUUAUGUAACUAAGAUUUUUUUUAAAUGCAAAGAAGUGUUUGUGUAUGCCCAGUGAGAGAGGAAUUCUUUUUUGUGACGUGUUCAAAGAUGUAAUGGUUUUUUUGACAUAAAAGUUCUGCUCAUAUGCAAUCAGGCAUGUUUAGUAUAUAUGCCUAAUAAUUAGGGCACACAUCUUUCUUGUGGUGCUUUGCUGAAGUGUGUGCGUAUCAGCAGUGAUCUUUUAAGGUGGAGUGUGGUGUUGCAAGAGAUUGUACUUAUUAACCUUUUUGAAUUUCAAGGAAUAAAGUGUGUAUACACGAUGUUCAAAAAGGAGUGAAAUAAAAAGUUGUAUUUAAUAA